UUUUUUUUUCUUUUUGCAACUGUCCUGUAACAAUAAAAGAGACAGAGUAGAUCAGAGCCACGCCGCGAGCAGCGCAGCGUCGGGCCGCAGAGCCUCUCCGCCGUUGGGGACGUGCUCCCGCAGCGUGGCGAAGCCCAGGUUCACCAGCUUCACCCGGUUGCGCUCCCGCUCGUUGCGCCGCGCCACGGCCGCCGGCUGCUGCUGAGGCAGGCUGUACCCGAACCCGCUGAAGUUGAGCCUCCUCUUGCAGCGCAUCAGCUCCGGCGAGGCCGAGCGCUGCCGCUUGGCC